rnacentral:rRNA from 1 species
GCUAGCCUCAAGUGAUGAUUAUUGGAGGUAGAGCACUGUUUGGACGAGGGGCCCCUCUCGGGUUACCGAAUUCAGACAAACUCCGAAUGCCAAUUUAUUUAACUUGGGAGUCAGAACAUGGGUGAUAAGGUCCGUGUUCGAAAGGGAAACAGCCCAGACCACCAGCUAAGGUCCCAAAAUAUAUGUUAAGUUGAAAAGGAUGUGGCGUUGCCCAGACAACUAGGAUGUUGGCUUAGAAGCAGCCAUCAUUUAAAGAGUGCGUAAUAGCUCACUAGUCGAGUGACACUGCGCCGAAAAUGUACCGGGGCUAAACAUAUUACCGAAGCUGUGGAUUGUCCUUUGGACAAUGGUAGGAGAGCGUUCUAAGGGCGUUGAAGCAUGAUCGUAAGGACAUGUGGAGCGCUUAGAAGUGAGAAUGCCGGUGUGAGUAGCGAAAGACGGGUGAGAAUCCCGUCCACCGAUUGACUAAGGUUUCCAGAGGAAGGCUCGUCCGCUCUGGGUUAGUCGGGUCCUAAGCUGAGGCCGACAGGCGUAGGCGAUGGAUAACAGGUUGAUAUUCCUGUACCACCUAUAAUCGUUUUAAUCGAUGGGGGGACGCAGUAGGAUAGGCGAAGCGUGCGAUUGGAUUGCACGUCUAAGCAGUAAGGCUGAGUAUUAGGCAAAUCCGGUACUCGUUAAGGCUGAGCUGUGAUGGGGAGAAGACAUUGUGUCUUCGAGUCGUUGAUUUCACACUGCCGAGAAAAGCCUCUAGAUAGAAAAUAGGUGCCCGUACCGCAAACCGACACAGGUAGUCAAGAUGAGAAUUCUAAGGUGAGCGAGCGAACUCUCGUUAAGGAACUCGGCAAAAUGACCCCGUAACUUCGGGAGAAGGGGUGCUCUUUAGGGUUAACGCCCAGAAGAGCCGCAGUGAAUAGGCCCAAGCGACUGUUUAUCAAAAACACAGGUCUCUGCUAAACCGUAAGGUGAUGUAUAGGGGCUGACGCCUGCCCGGUGCUGGAAGGUUAAGAGGAGUGGUUAGCUUCUGCGAAGCUACGAAUCGAAGCCCCAGUAAACGGCGGCCGUAACUAUAACGGUCCUAAGGUAGCGAAAUUCCUUGUCGGGUAAGUUCCGACCCGCACGAAAGGCGUAACGAUUUGGGCACUGUCUCAACGAGAGACUCGGUGAAAUCAUAGUACCUGUGAAGAUGCAGGUUACCCGCGACAGGACGGAAAGACCCCGUGGAGCUUUACUGUAGCCUGAUAUUGAAAUUCGGCACAGCUUGUACAGGAUAGGUAGGAGCCUUUGAAACGUGAGCGCUAGCUUACGUGGAGGCGCUGGUGGGAUACUACCCUAGCUGUGUUGGCUUUCUAACCCGCACCACUUAUCGUGGUGGGAGACAGUGUCAGGCGGGCAGUUUGACUGGGGCGGUCGCCUCCUAAAAGGUAACGGAGGCGCUCAAAGGUUCCCUCAGAAUGGUUGGAAAUCAUUCAUAGAGUGUAAAGGCAUAAGGGAGCUUGACUGCGAGACCUACAAGUCGAGCAGGGUCGAAAGACGGACUUAGUGAUCCGGUGGUUCCGCAUGGAAGGGCCAUCGCUCAACGGAUAAAAGCUACCCCGGGGAUAACAGGCUUAUCUCCCCCAAGAGUUCACAUCGACGGGGAGGUUUGGCACCUCGAUGUCGGCUCAUCGCAUCCUGGGGCUGUAGUCGGUCCCAAGGGUUGGGCUGUUCGCCCAUUAAAGCGGUACGCGAGCUGGGUUCAGAACGUCGUGAGACAGUUCGGUCCCUAUCCGUCGUGGGCGUAGGAAAUUUGAGAGGAGCUGUCCUUAGUACGAGAGGACCGGGAUGGACAUACCUCUGGUGUACCAGUUGUCGUGCCAACGGCAUAGCUGGGUAGCUAUGUGUGGACGGGAUAAGUGCUGAAAGCAUCUAAGCAUGAAGCCCCCCUCAAGAUGAGAUUUCCCAACUUCGGUUAUAAGAUCCCUCAAAGAUGAUGAGGUUAAUAGGUUCGAGGUGGAAGCAUGGUGACAUGUGGAGCUGACGAAUACUAAUCGAUCGAAGACUUAAUCAA